UGAGGAGUGCGCCUGCGCCGGUGCUGUGACCCGGAAGUGCAACCGCACGCGCGGCCCUUCUGCCCAGUGGUGCUCAGGUGGGAGUCGGCGCCGCGUUCUCUCCUGCUCAGGGCCUGCACAAGCCCUGAGGAGCCGUUCUGAGCGACGCUGCACGCCACGCCUGGGGAGACCCAGCGCCCCCAGGGUCAGGCUGGGAUCAGGAGAGGCUGCGGCCCGAAGCGGUGGUUUCAUUUCCUUGGGAUUCUGUUAAUUUCUGGGCUUGGUCCUCUUCUUCGGCCCCUUCUGGAAGUCUACACCUCGGGACUCAAUUUCUGUUCCUAAGGAGCAGUGGCGUUCCUGUCACGGGUCUGCACACACGGAGGAGAAAGAAACGUAAGCGGAACCCAAGAAUCGCUCUGUGCUCUGUUCCAGCCUGCCCCAGGCUUCUGACACCUCAUAUUUUCAGGCUCCUCUCAGAAAUGGUGUAUCCAGGAGUAUCUGCCCAGCUGUAAAUGUCACGUGUUUUAAUGUUUAUUACAUGCUUUGGAGAGUUAUGUGAUCACCACAGAAUAAAGUCAGCAUAUUUGCAUUGAUGAAAAGAUAUUUUAUGAGAUUCCUCAUUCUCCACCAACACAGACAACUGGUGAGUUAAACUUUUCUUAAGAGAUUUGCCUUUUAUUACAUGUCUGUAUAAUUGGAUUCAUACAGUAGAACAGUGUUUAGUCUUUUGAUUGAUUUCUUUUUUUUAAAGAUUUAUUUAUUUUACUUGAAAGUCAGAGUUACACAGAGAGAGAAUGAGAGGCAGAGAGAGAGGUCUUCCAUCCACUGAUUCACUCCCUAAUUGGCCACAAUGGUUGUAGCUGCACUGAUCCGAAGCCAGGAACCAGGAGCUUCUUCCAGGUCUCACAUGCAAGUGCAGGGGCUCAAGGACUUGGGCCUUCUGCUGCUGCUUUCCCAGGCCACAGCAGAGAGCUGGAUAGGAAGUGGAGCAGCCAGGACUUGAACCGGCUCCCAUAUGGGGUGCUGGCACUACAGGCUUGUU